UACGGGGGGGAGCAAGCGUUGUUCGGAUUUACUGGGCGUAAAGGGCGCGUAGGCGGCGCAACAAGUCACUUGUGAAAUCUCCGGGCUUAACCCGGAGCGGUCAAGUGAUACUGUCGUGCUAGAGUGCGGAAGGGGCUACUGGAAUUCUCGGUGUAGCGGUGAAAUGCGUAGAUAUCGAGAGGAACACCUGCGGCGAAGGCGGGGUAGCUGGGCCGACACUGACGCUGAUGCGCGAAAGCGUGGGUAGCAAACGGG
rnacentral:rRNA from 1 species